AAAAUAUUUCGCCUCUUCAUAAAUCUAUAGAAGUGAUUUUUAUUAAUGAAUACGACAACGAAUAUUAUUUGCCACACAUUUCCAUGACUCAAUAUCUAAUUUCCUCCCUUAUUUUUAAUACUAUUGGUUGGCAUUGUCACAUUUGCGAGGCCACAUUGAAGCAACAAAUUGAGUAUGUUCCCCAUAAUAACUCUAAUCUCAAUAAAUUGAUUCAAACUUCAGAAGCUUUGCAUAUUCAUUUAGCAAAUGGAACAUGUAGUCAUACACGUAAUCCAUCUUAAGCUCUUCUUUAAUAAACUUGCUCCCCGCUUUACCGAUUUCGAGAGAGGUUUUCCUGAAAUUUCAAGCAACUUUACAUCUAGACCAAAAAUAAUCAGAAAAUGAGAGAGCAAAUACUAACAUGUAAAACAGCAUCACAAUGAGAAGUUCUGAUGGGAAGAGAUACAUGAGAAGGCUUUGUGGCAUCUACAUAAUCAGAAAAGUUUAUAGAAACCUCUCCAAUAUAGCUAGCUUUCGAUAACCCCUGCAACAUAGAACCCUUAAAUUACAUAACUAGAACAAAAUUAAACUGUUGGCUAUGACUCGUAAGUAGGGAAGUCGCUCAACUGGACCGUAGUAUUUACACACAAGUUGUUGUAAUUUGUAACCAUAAAUUUUAAUCAUAAUAGAAUAAACUUGACUUAGGUUGUUGUUCUAA